GCCCUCGUAGCUCAGGGGAUAGAGCGUCGGCCUCCGGAGCCGUAGGCGCAGGUUCGAAUCCUGCCGAGGGCG
rnacentral:tRNA from 2 species